rnacentral:rRNA from 1 species
GAGCGAAGGCGAGGACUUGGGCCAAUACUGACGCUUAGGCUUGAAAGUGUGGGGAGCAAAUAGGAUUAGAUACCCUAGUAUCCACACUGUAAACGAUGGAUGUUAAGUGUCGGAGCGAAUACUUCGGUGCUGCAGUUAACACAUUAAACAUCCUGCCUGAGUAGUACAUUCGCAAGAAUGAAACUCAAACGGAAUUGACGGGGACCCGCACAAGUGGUGGAGCAUGUUGCUUAAUUCGACGGUACACAAAAAACCUUACCUAGACUUGACAUCUUGGGCGAAGCUAUAAAAAUAUAGUGGAGGUCAACCCAAUGACAGGUGGUGCAUGGUUGUCGUCAGCUCGUGUCGUGAGAUGUUGGGUUAAGUCCCGCAACGAGCGCAACCCUUAUCGUUAGUUACUUUGUCUAACGAGACUGCCAACGUAAGUUGGAGGAAGGUGGGGAUGACGUCAAAUCAUCAUGCCCCUUAUGUCUAGGGCUGCAAACGUGCUACAAUGGCCAAUACAAACAGUUGCAAAAUC